GACCUCGGAUCAGGUAGGGAUACNCGCUGAACUUAA
rnacentral:rRNA from 1 species